GCAGUUUAAAAAUAAAUAAAUGGGUCAUUCCACGUCAAAUCGAUCAAUAGUUGGAUUCGACCCCUUUCGAUUUGGACAAAUUUUGGUCAGAAGUUUUCUUUUAUCCUAUAACGAAGUUUUGC